UACGUAGGGGGCAAGCGUUGUCCGGAAUCAUUGGGCGUAAAGCGCGCGUAGGCGGCCCUGUAAGUCCGUUGUGAAAGUCAAAGGCUCAACCUUUGAAAGCCGAUGGAUACUGCAGGGCUAGAGUCCGGAAGAGGCGAGUGGAAUUCCUGGUGUAGCGGUGGAAUGCGCAGAUAUCAGGAGGAACACCAAUAGCGAAGGCAGCUCGCUGGGACGGUACUGACACUAAGGCGCGAAAGCGUGGGGAGCAAACAGG
rnacentral:rRNA from 1 species